CACGGGUGAGUAACACGUAGGUAAUCUACCUUUGGAUGGGGAAUAACAACCGGAAACUGGGGGCUAAUACCGCAUAAUGCAGCGGCACCUAAUGGUGACAGUUGUUAAGCGGGGAUCGAAAGACCUCGCGUCUGAAGAGGAGCCUGCGGCGGAUUAGCUAGUUGGUGGGGUAAUGGCUCACCAAGGCGAUGAUCCGUAGCCGGCCUGAGAGGGCGGUCGGCCACACUGACACUGACAUACGGGUCAGACUCCUACGGGAGGCAGCCAGUCGGGAAUUGUUCGCAAUGGGCGCAAGCCUGACGACGCAACGCCGCGUGGAGGAUGACAGAUCUUCGUGUCGUAAACUCCUUUCGAUCGAGACGAAUGGCCUCCGGGUGAACAAUCCGGAGGCAUGACGGUACCCGGAGAGAAGAAGCCCCGGUAAUUCCGUGCCAGCAGCCGCGGUAAUACGGGGGGGCAAGCGUUGUCGGAAUUACUUGGGGCGUAACAGGGCUCGUAGGCGGGCCAAACUAAGUCACAGACGGUGAAAUCCCUCGGGUUAAACCGGGGAACUUGCGUCUGAUACUGGAUGGGUUUGA
rnacentral:rRNA from 1 species